CCGGGUUGCGGACAGUGUCUGGUGGGUAGUUUGACUGGGGCGGUCUCCUCCUAAAGAGUAACGGAGGAGCACGAAGGUUGGCUAAUCCUGGUCGGACAUCAGGAGGUUAGUGCAAUGGCAUAAGCCAGCUUGACUGCGAGCGUGACGGCGCGAGCAGGUGCGAAAGCAGGUCAUAGUGAUCCGGUGGUUCUGAAUGGAAGGGCCAUCGCUCAACGGAUAAAAGGUACUCCGGGGAUAACAGGCUGAUACCGCCCAAGAGUUCAUAUCGACGGCGGUGUUUGGCACCUCGAUGUCGGCUCAUCACAUCCUGGGGCUGAAGUAGGUCCCAAGGGUAUGGCUGUUCGCCAUUUAAAGUGGUACGCGAGCUGGGUUUAGAACGUCGUGAGACAGUUCGGUCCCUAUCUGCCGUGGGCGCUGGAGAACUGAGGGGGGCUGCUCCUAGUACGAGAGGACCGGAGUGGACGCAUCACUGGUGUUCGGGUUGUCAUGCCAAUGGCACUGCCCGGUAGCUAAAUGCGGAAGAGAUAAGUGCUGAAAGCAUCUAAGCACGAAACUUGCCCCGAGAUGAGUUCUCCCUGAGACUUAGAGUCUCCUGAAGGAACGUUGAAGACGACGACGUUGAUAGGCCGGGUGUGUAAGCGCAGCGAUGCGUUGAGCUAACCGGUACUAAUGAACCGUGAGGCUUAACCUU
rnacentral:rRNA from 13 species